rnacentral:rRNA from 1 species
UACGAAGGGGGCUAGCGUUGCUCGGAAUCACUGGGCGUAAAGGGUGCGUAGGCGGGUCUUUAAGUCAGGGGUGAAAUCCUGGAGCUCAACUCCAGAACUGCCUUUGAUACUGAGGAUCUUGAGUUCGGGAGAGGUGAGUGGAACUGCGAGUGUAGAGGUGAAAUUCGUAGAUAUUCGCAAGAACACCAGUGGCGAAGGCGGCUCACUGGCCCGAUACUGACGCUGAGGCACGAAAGCGUGGGAGCGAACAGG